GACGAACGCUGGCGGCGUGCUUAACACAUGCAAGUCGAGCGGUAAGGCCCUUUCGGGGGUACACGAGCGGCGAACGGGUGAGUAACACGUGGGUGACCUGCCCUUAGCUCUGGGAUAAGCCUGGGAAACUGGGUCUAAUACCGGAUACGACUCCGCGGUGCAUGCUGUGGGGUGGAAAGCCUUGUGCGGCUGGAGAUGGGCCCGCGGCCUAUCAGCCUGUUGGUGGGGUGAUGGCCUACCAAGGCGACGACGGGUAGCCGGCCUGAGAGGGCGACCGGCCACACUGGGACUGAGACACGGCCCAGACUCCUACGGGAGGCAGCAGUGGGGAAUUGUUCGCAAUGGGCGCAAGCCUGACGACGCAACGCCGCGUGGAGGAUGAAGAUUUUCGGAUCGUAAACUCCUUUCGAUCGAGACGAAUGCCCUUUGGUAAUAGCCUGAAGGAAUGACGUACCGAGAGAAGAAGCCCGGCUAACUCCGUGCCAGCAGCCGCCGCCGUAAC
rnacentral:rRNA from 1 species